GUUUCUGCUCUGCCUUUUGGCUAAGAUCAAGUGUAGUAUCUGUUCUUGUCAGUGUAAUGAAAGCAAAGUCAUCAAGUUGGAGUUUCCUUUGACCAUUU
rnacentral:snRNA from 1 species